rnacentral:rRNA from 1 species
AUUGAACGCUGGCGGCAGGCCUAACACAUGCAAGUCGAGCGAGCGGCGGACGGGUGAGUAAUGUCUGGGAAACUGCCUGAUGGAGGGGGCUAACUACUGGAAACGGUAGCUAAUACCGCAUACCAUCAGAUGUGCCCAGAUGGGAGUAGCUACUAGGUGGGGUAAUGGCUCACCUAGGCGACGCUCCCUAGCUGGUCUGAGAGGAUGACCAGCCACACUGGAACUGAGACACGGUCCAGACUCCUACGGGAGGCAGCAGUGGGGAAUAUUGCACAAUGGGCGCAAGCCUGAUGCAGCCAUGCCGCGUGUAUGAAGAAGGCCUUCGGGUUGUAAAGCACUUUCAGCGGGGAAGCGUUACCCGAAGAGAAAGCAACGGCUAACUCCGUGCCAGCAGCCGCGGUAAUUC